GGGGGAAUAUUGGACAAUGGGGGCAACCCUGAUCCAGCCAUGCCGCGUGAGUGAUGAAGGCCUUCGGGUUGUAAAACUCUUUUGACGGGGACGAUGAUGACGGUACCCGUAGAAUAAGCACCGGCUAACUUCGUGCCAGCAGCCGCGGUAAUACGAAGGGUGCUAGCGUUGUUCGGAAUUACUGGGCGUAAAGGGCGCGUAGGCGGUUUGGCAAGUUGGAUGUGAAAGCCCAGGGCUCAACCCUGGAAUU
rnacentral:rRNA from 1 species